UACGUAGGGUGCAGGCGUUAAUCGGAAUUACUGGGCGUAAAGCGCACGUAGGCGGAUAUUUAAGUCAGGGGUGAAAUCCCGGGGCUCAACCCCGGAACUGCCUUUGAUACUGGGUAUCUCGAGUCCGAGAGAGGUGAGUGGAAUUCCGAGUGUAGAGGUGAAAUUCGUAGAUAUUCGGAGGAACACCAGUGGCGAAGGCGGCUCACUGGCUCGGUACUGACGCUGAGGUGCGAAAGCGUGGGGAGCAAACAGG
rnacentral:rRNA from 1 species